CCGAAAUUUCGGCAGCACCUCCCUUAAAAAUGGGACUAUCAACCUGUUUAAAUAUCCCAACAACACUAAGUAUCAUUCAAUCGAUACACACAGCCCAUCCAUCGGGCAAUUAAACAAAUCUAUUUCCCUUCCUCCAUCCAACACAUUCACAUCAAUAUUUAAUUGUUAAUAUCAAACUUUAACUUACUAUAUAACAUUAAGUAAAUGAAUAAAUAAGCAACUAAAUGAAAAAUAGCUAUUUGCUUAACCUCCAGAAGUUACUAGUUAAACUAUCUAAUAUAGACCCUUAACAAUCAUAUAAAACUAUAGCUUAUGUAUUCAAUAAUCAUUAACUAAAUUCGGAGUUUUUCGAUACCAAAAUUAUAUAUUACACAUUAACUAAUCAAUGUCAUAAAUCAUCUAUAAUCUAUACAUGUCUUUCUUUCUCCAUACCAUACUAGAACCGAAUUUCUAAUCAAACUCAUAUAUGUAUACACUUAAUAGUUCCAAUCUAAAACCAUCCAUUGUCUAAGUCUUAAUUUAUAACUUUUCCUAACAAUAUUUAUCCAAAUUCCUAACUUAGCUUACAUCGAUGUUAUACCAAUUGCUUCUUAACAAAAUUAUAUUUGUUUGAUUAUUUACCCAAAUUCAAUUUAACUAACUAAUAUUUAUUAAGUUUAUAAUUUAUACCGAAGAUAAAGAAACUGAUCUUAGAACGUACCAAUUGAGAAUCGGGCGACGAUUCCACGAUCAGCGCGAAGAGAAGAGGAUUCUGUCUCUCGGGACCUCGCCGGAGUGCCGCCGGCCGGUCACCGGACCGCCGCCGCCGACCGCCGUGCACGGUGGCCGGAAAUUCAAAUCAUCACCAAAAUUAACAAACAAUAUAUCAUUUUAUUCGUUUCGAUGAGAGGAUCAUUAAUAUGUAUUCAAAUCAAGGUGGGUACGAACUAUUUGGCCGGAAAUUGAUCGGAAAGGUUUGGUGAUACCCAUUUUGGGUUUUCCGAUUCCGGCCAUUACAGUCGACGAGGAGGCCAUCAAAUGAAAGAGGAAGAAGAGAGGAGUCAUUUGGUACUCACCUUGAGCCCUAGGCUUGCCUGAAACGGCGUGAAUCGCCGGAAAAAGGGUCUCCAAAACUUCAAGCUCUUCCCCUUCAAAAUAGACACAAUUUCAAUUCAAAUCUACGCUAUAAUCUUCUUCCUCGCGUUGAGUAGAUGUUUUUAGAGUAUUCAUUUGCCGAAUUUGGUGGCCGGAGGAAGGAGAUCGAAGAAGAGGGAGGAGGAGGAGGAGGUGGUCACGCUACCGAAGAAGGAGAAGGA
rnacentral:lncRNA from 1 species